GUAAUACUCACUCUGUCCGGAAUUACUUGUCACACUAAUAGAUAAAAAUAGAUGCAUGUAGAACUAAAAUACAUCUAAAUACAUCCGUUCCUAUCGCAAGUAUUUCCGGACGGAGGGAGUAACUU
rfam:Hordeum vulgare subsp. vulgare, WGS project CAJW01000000 data, contig: morex_contig_51629